CCUCUGCUUUCGGUUGCCUAGUACCAACUAUCAACAUUGUUAUAGAAGCAGAUAGUUUGGUCAAACGAUGGGACUUAAACUGAACUGUACGAGCUAAGUCGGUCCUCCUGUCUCAAAAUUUAAAUUCUAGACCUUCUAACGAGUGAUUGCUAAUACUUAUUACACGACCAAUACGCUGACGACUUUACGAAUAUCUCUGACAAUAUGAUAUAAAUUAUAGUAAUAAUAUAUAGGUAUCCGUUUC